AAACUUUCAACAACGGAUCUCUUGGUUCCGGCAUCGAUGAAGAACGCAGCGAAAUGCGAUAAGUAAUGUGAAUUGCAGAAUUCCGUGAAUCAUCGAAUCUUUGAACGCACAUUGCGCCCCCGGCAUUCCGGGGGGCAUGCCUGUCCGAGCGUCAUUG
rnacentral:rRNA from 1 species